UCCUCCAUGAGACUUUCUCCACAUGAGAGCCUACUCCCCUUUACUGUAAUCAUUUUUUAGUAUCCUUGAUGAUUUUAUUAAUAUUCCAACUUUCCAUGCUUGUAGCGCAACUUCUCUAAACCUGUAGUGAAGCUUCAUAUACUUCCAUCCAACGGAACAUGUCGUUUAGUUCUUCAUUGCUAGGAAGUCUUCCAAUAUUAUGAAAAUUCUACAUAAAAGUUCACCAACACCCGCUCUCUUCAAUACUUAGCCGAACUAAACUAUGGAGCUUCAUUAGAAAGCAUCAACAACUACCACCAUCGUCUAUACAUAAUUACAAUCACAGUUCAAAGAAUUAUCAUACUCCAUCUUAAGGAGUACACUCACCACCUUGCAUCCAUUGAAACAAAUAUUUGUGUCACGCCUUUGCAUCCAUGUCAAUGUCCAUGUUAUACUCUGCAUUUCUACCAAUGCAUGUGUUAUAUCUUACAUCCAAACCAAUACUUGUGCUACACCUUCAUCGAAGUCACUUAAAGCUUAUGUGCUAUUGUGUAUGUGCUAGCAAUAAACAUCCCUCUCCACUUUUCAUCCCAAAUAAUAUCAUCUUAUUCGAUAAUUAGAGAUACUAUCAGCAUUUUCUCAGAGCUCGACGCUCCAUGUAGAUCCCUAUCUCCACCUAGGUCCUAAUUAAAUAAACGAUAGUGGCCUCCAUCAUGGCUGUGCCAUGUUUCCUUCUCAUUCAACUCAUUUUAUUUAUCCUCGUGCAAUACCUUUAAUAAGCAUUGUUCAACCAACACAUCUUUCAUGAUUCUUUGUCACAAUCAAAAGUUUUAGUUAUAUUGAACUUCUCCAUCAUGAAUAUGGCGCCUGGAUUAAGAGUCAUAUGUGAAAUGGACUCUAAUACCAAUUGUUG
rnacentral:lncRNA from 1 species